CCUACGGGUGGCACCAGUGGGGAAUAUUGCACAAUGGGCGCAAGCCUGAUCCAGCCAUGCCGCGUGAGUGAAGAAGGCCUUAGGGUUGUAAAGCUCUUUCACCGGUGAAGAUAAUGACGGUAACCGGAGAAGAAGCCCCGGCUAACUUCGUGCCAGCAGCCGCGGUAAUACGAAGGGGGCUAGCGUUGUUCGGAAUUACUGGGCGUAAGGCGCGCGUAGGCGGAUAGAUAAGUCAGAGGUGAAAUCCCGGGGCUCAACCCCGGAAUUGUCUUUGAUACUGUUUAUCUUGAGUGCAGAAGAGGUAAGUGGAAUUCCGAGUGUAGAGGUGAAAUUCGUAGAUAUUCGGAGGAACACCAGUGGCGAAGGCGGCUUACUGGUCUGCAACUGACGCUGAGGCGCGAAAGCGGGGGGAGCAAACAGGAUUAGAUACCCCAGUAGUC
rnacentral:rRNA from 1 species